CCUACGGGAGGCAGCAGUGGGGAAUAUUGCACAAUGGGCGAAAGCCUGAUGCAGCAACGCCGCGUGAGCGAUGAAGGCCUUCGGGUUGUAAAGCUCUGUCUUCUGGGACGAUAAUGACGGUACCAGAGGAGGAAGCCACGGCUAACUACGUGCCAGCAGCCGCGGUAAU
rnacentral:rRNA from 1 species